GGGAUGUUAGUAAAACAAUUACAUGGUCUUGUCAAGACCAAAUUACAGGUGAAAACCCAGUACAUCCCAGCAUUAAA
rnacentral:tRNA from 1 species